UACGAAGUGUGCUAGCGUUGUUCGGAAUCACUGGGCGUAAAGCGCACGUAGGUGGUUGUGUCAGUCAGGGGUGAAAUCCCGGAGCUCAACUUCGGAACUGCCUUUGAUACAGCACGUCUUGAGUCCGAUAGAGGUGGGUGGAAUUCCUAGUGUAGAGGUGAAAUUCGUAGAUAUUAGGAAGAACACCGGUGGCGAAGGCGGCCCACUGGAUCGGUACUGACGCUGAGGUGCGAAAGCGUGGGGAGCAAACAGG
rnacentral:rRNA from 1 species